rnacentral:lncRNA from 1 species
AGGAUGCUUAGCUAGGGGUAACAUUUCAGUAUGAGUGUAUACUGAGGUCAUGGGAGGAAAGUGUUGGGAGUUAAAGCUGGAAAGCCUUCCCCACGCUUGCCUCUCUGGUUCUACAGCAGCAGCCUAUCUUCUGUCUGCUUGGUUUAGGAAGCUCCUUCUUCAGGGUUUCUGAAUUGCUGGCCUUUUGGUGACGUUUGGCGCAACAACCCUCUCUACCUAUAACCCACAUCGCUGACCUCAGAGCUCAAUGAACGUUUCAUUUACAUGCACAGUCAAAUUAAAUUUGCCCAGCC